AGGCCUGUUCACCACCAAAUUAAUCAGGACAUACUACAGAGGAUUACAGAAUGGGUAAAAAGGAAGGGACCACAGAGGCUCAUCUGGUCCAACUUUCCAUCCAAGCAAGUUCUAUCACUGUCCUAUCACAUGUAAAGCUCAAACAACACCACCCAGACCCCCAAGGCAUUUAAAAUGAAAUAAAAAUAUGAAGUAAAAAUAUGAAUGUUGUUAACAGCACACAGCAAACCAAAGGUAGAUUCUGAGAUGGAAUAAAUCAGCCUUGGAGUGAUCACAACUUACCCUUAGCUGGUAAAUCUUAAUCACUAGCAGUGCAAAUAAAAAAGGAAAGAGGUGGCAUCGCAGGAAGCACCUUGCAGAAAUUGUACCUCAUUACUACAUGAGAAGGCAGUAAAUGAGGUAUAUACAAUCAGCUUUGGACAACUUCAUCUUCAAAAUGCAGAGGUAAGUAUUAAAAUCUAGAACUGGCUUUCCUUAAUAACAUUUUUAAACAGGCUGUUUGACUUCAUUCAAAACUAACUCUCUUUAAAACUGUU